UACGAAGGGGGCUAGCGUUGCUCGGAAUUACUGGGCGUAAAGCGCACGUAGGCGGCUUCUUAAGUCGGUGGUGAAAUCCUGGAGCUCAACUCCAGAACUGCCUUUGAUACUGAGGAUCUUGAGUUCGGGAGAGGUGAGUGGAACUGCGAGUGUAGAGGUGAAAUUCGUAGAUAUUCGCAAGAACACCAGUGGCGAAGGCGGCUCACUGGCCCGAUACUGACGCUGAGGCACGAAAGCGUGGGGAGCAAACAGG
rnacentral:rRNA from 1 species